UCCUGCUGCUGCCAUGCCACAGAUAAACCAAGCCAUAGUCUGGUUUGUCGUGUUAUCAAAACCUGAGCUCAUACUUUGUUUUUUCCAAACAAACUAUGAGUGGUAGGCUAUGAAUGAACCUUGGUUACCACUCAUGGUUUGUUUGAGGGGAAACUAAUCAUCAGUACAGGUAUGGGUGACAUGAUAAGGCAGAAUUUGGCCUGCUUCAUCCACAGCAUAGCAGCAGUGGGA